rnacentral:tRNA from 1 species
UUUAUGGGGUGAGUUCCUCUCUUUACAU